AGAGUUUGAUCCUGGCUCAGGACGAACGCUGGCGGCGUGGAUUAGGCAUGCAAGUCGAACGAGAAAGUUUUCCUUCGGGAGAGCGAGUACAGUGGCGGACUGGUGAGUAACGCGUAGGUAAUCUACCUUCAAGUGGGGGAUAGCCCUCGGAAACGAGGAUUAAUACCGCAUGUGUUCCUUCGGGAAUAAAGGUGGCCUCUGAUUAAGCUGUCGCUUGAAGAUGAGCCUGCGUCCUAUUAGCUAGUUGGUGUGGUAAUGGCGCACCAAGGCGAUGAUUGGUAGGCGUCCUUAACGGGUGGUCGCCCACACUGGGAUUGAGAUACUGCCCAGACUCCUACGGGAGGCAGCAGUCGAGAAUAGUCUACAAUGGACGAAAGUCUGAUAGUGCAACGCCGCGUGGGUGAUGAAGCAUUUCGGUGUGUAAAACCCUUUUCUUUGUGAGCAAUGCCAUUAUGGUGAAUAGCUAUAGUGGAGAGAUAUUAGCAGAGGAAUAAGCCACGGCUAACU
rnacentral:rRNA from 1 species